CCAACUUCUUUCAUUUCGUGAUUAUUCAUUAGUCAAUUGUCACAUAAGUGCCAUCAAUCUCACUGCUACAUCACAAUUGAUUUCACCAUUAUUAUCAAACCCACCACCCAAAAAUCACAACUACACUAUUCGAUUUUACCACCAUACGUUUCUUCACCAAACUCAUAAUGUCGCACCACCAAUUUUACCACCAUUCAUCUGACCCACCACCGAAAAUCAAAAUAUCACCACCAUUAAUUCAAUC
rnacentral:lncRNA from 1 species